GAUGAACGCUGGCGGCGUGCCUAAUACAUGCAAGUCGAGCGAACGGACGCGAAGCUUGCUUCUCUGUUGUUAGCGGCGCACGGGAGAGUAACACGUGGAUAACCUACCUAUAAGACUGGGAUAAUCUCGGGACGCCGGCGAUUACACCGGAUAAUAUUUUGAAGCGCAUGGUUCAAAAGUGAAAGACGGCCUUUCUGUCUCUUCUCGAUGGAUCUGCGCUGCAUUAGCUAGUUGGUAAGGUAACGGCUUAUCAAGGAAAGUAUGCAUAACCGACCGGAGAGAGGGGUCGGCCGCAUGGGAGCUUGAACAGGGACCGUGCGCCUACGGUAGGGAGCAGUAGGGAACCUGCCGCAAUGGGCGAAAGCCUGACAGAGCAGCGCCGCGUGAGUGAUGAAGGUCUUCGGAUCGUAAAACUCUGUUAUUGGGGGAAAACAUAUGUGUAAGGAACUGAGCACAGCGUGACGGUACCUAAUCAGAAAGCCACGGCUAACUACGUG
rnacentral:rRNA from 1 species